rnacentral:lncRNA from 1 species
UACAGCAAUAUUGAUUACCUCACUACAUAAAGCCAUAUGACAUUAAAAUAUGAUUUGGAAAGGAAUUCAAUUCGAAGUAUGUGCACAAGAGUAAUAGGCGUAAUACUGGACCACAAUAUCUCCUUUGAAAUGGAAAACGAUCAUAAAAAUUUACCAUAUCGAUCACUUUCAACUUAGUUCUUUCACAUCUAAUUUUUGCUUACUUGAGAAGUGCCUGAUAGAACAUCAAAAAAUAGUUAGUUAACUGAAAAUAUAGUCAAAAUAAGGUGCUUGCAGAUGUGAUGCUGUGCAAGUGGAAACGACUUAACUUCGGCACCAGAUUAUAUAUUGCUCUUCAAAGGGUAUCUUACUUAUAUCCUUGCACAAUAAUUAUUACUCGGAACAUUUAAAAGCCUUUCUGGCCAAAAAGAAAAGAAUUUUAACAUGCUAGUUGGUGUAAAUAAUCAUCUUUUACUUGAAAACAUCAAAAGGGAAGACGUAAGCUUUUGUUAUAUGCUAGUAAUUUCAAAGUGAAUAGAUGUAACGAACAUAUCACAAUGUAAAUGAAAACAGACCAUGAAAAUCUCUCUAGAGUUGCAGUCAAUUAUAGCAGCAUAAUUAAUAAACAUUUUAGGGACAAAAUUUGAAACGACAAUAAGUUUACCGACAGUGGUUAAACUGUCGUUCAUGAAUACAAGCUUUAGCUUUGUUAGGUCAGCAAUCAGCUCAACAAAUUUUCCAAGUUUUGAAGAAGCGAAAUCACUAACAUAAUAAGUUUUACAAAAACAUCAAUCAUUUACCAUAAUAUUACAAUAGUAACAAUAACAACAAUGUGCUUAUUAUGAAUGUCCAAAAGACCUAACAUAAACUAAUCAAUUUUAUAACUAACACAAAGGAAUUAUCACAAAAAACGAAAGUCAAGUAAAUAGGGGCCUAAUACAAUAGGAAAUAAUGCUUUCUGCACAAAGAAGAAAGUUUAUAAAACUUCUGAAGGCAAGAGUCAAGUAAAAAAAAAAAAAAAAUACUGGAGGAGUUAUUCAAUGCCUUUAAAGUAAUUUCAACAACAGGAAAUGACUGGUAGCAAGUUGAACAUCUGGGAGGAAUGCCUUCUCUGUUUCAUUAGAAGCGUUGAGUGGAGCAAACAGCUAAGCCCUUUUCUCUCUACUCCAUGGGUGAGCCGCCGCCACCUCCAAUCAACAACCAUCACCACCCGCCGCCCAAGCCACUGGACUCACCCACCACCGGAAUCCUCUCACCGCCUUCUACAACCUCC